CCUACGGGGGGCUGCAGUGGGGAAUAUUGGACAAUGGGCGAAAGCCUGAUCCAGUCAUGCCGCGUGUGUGAAGAAGGCCUUCGGGUUGUAAAGCACUUUCAGUGGGGAAGAAAGCCUUGGGGCUAAUACCCUCGAGGAAGGACAUCACCCACAGAAGAAGCACCGGCUAACUCCGUGCCAGCAGCCGCGGUAAUACGGAGGGUGCGAGCGUUAAUCGGAAUUACUGGGCGUAAAGCGCGCGUAGGCGGUCUGAUAAGCCGGUUGUGAAAGCCCCGGGCUCAACCUGGGAACGGCAUCCGGAACUGGCAGGCUAGAGUGCCGGAGAGGAAGGUAGAAUUCCCGGUGUAGCGGUGAAAUGCGUAGAGAUCGGGAGGAAUACCAGUGGCGAAGGCGGCCUUCUGGACUGACACUGACGCUGAGGUGCGAAAGCGUGGGUAGCAAACAGGAUUAGAUACCCUAGUAGUC
rnacentral:rRNA from 1 species